rnacentral:rRNA from 1 species
GCGCACCAGUCGAGAAAACUUCACAAUGUGCGAAAGCACGAUGAGGGAAUCCCAAGUGCUUGCACGUAAGUGUAAGCUGUUUCUCUGUCUAAAACGCAGAGAGAGUAAGGGCUGGGUAAGACGGGUGCCAGCCGCCGCGGUAAUACCUGCAGCUCGAGUGGUGACCGUUAUUAUUGGGCCUAAAACGUCCGUAGCCGGUUUAAUAAAUGCCUGGGUAAAUCGGACCGCUUAACGGUUCGAAUUCCGGGUAGACUGUUAAACUUGAGACCGGGAGAAGUUAGAGGUACUCCUGGGGUAGAGGUGAAAUUCUGUAAUCCUAGGGGGACCACCAGUGGCGAAGGCGUCUAACUAGAACGGGUCUGACGGUGAGGGACGAAGCCCUGGGGCGCAAACGGGAUUAGAUACCCGUGU